CUAAGGGGUACUAGGCUAAAAUUCAAAGAGAUAAAAGAGACUUGAAAGAAACUGCGGGAGUUGAAUUUAUAAAAUAUUUCAUUCACUUGAAUAACUUUAUAGCAAUUGUUUUAUCUUCUCCUUCCUCUUUUUAUUCAUUUUUUUCGAAGGAGUAUGUAUUGACAUGUAUUGAAAUAUUACAAACAUAAUUCCUUUUUUUUCUUCCUCUUAUCCUUCUAUUUUUUCUUCCUCUUAUCCUUCUAUUUUUUCAUUCCUUUUUUUUUUCUUUUCUAUUUUAUUUUUCUAUUUUUUUUCUUUUUCUGCCAUCUUCUGAAAUAUUACAAACAUAAUUAUUCAACCCCACACAACUCCAAACAAGACUCUUUCAACCCUUUGAAUAGGGUGAUAAUAUUGUUUUUCACUUCUCGGCUUGUAAUG
rnacentral:lncRNA from 1 species